ACGAAGGGGGCUAGCGUUGUUCGGAUUUACUGGGCGUAAAGCGCACGUAGGCGGACUUUUAAGUCAGGGGUGAAAUCCCGGGGCUCAACCCCGGAACUGCCUUUGAUACUGGAAGUCUUGAGUAUGGAAGAGGUGAGUGGAAUUCCGAGUGUAGAGGUGAAAUUCGUAGAUAUUCGGAGGAACACCAGUGGCGAAGGCGGCUCACUGGUCCAUUACUGACGCUGAGGUGCGAAAGCGUGGGGAGCAAACAG
rnacentral:rRNA from 1 species